GGUUGUGGCUCAGUGGUAAAGCGCUUGCCUGACACGCAUAAGACACUGGGUUCAAUCCUCAGCACCA
rnacentral:tRNA from 1 species